UACGUAGGGUGCAAGCGUUGUCCGGAAUCAUUGGGCGUAAAGCGCGCGUAGGUGGCUUUGUAAGUCCGUUGUGAAAGUCAAAGGCUCAACCUUUGAAAGCCGAUGGAUACUGCGGAGCUAGAGUACGGAAGAGGCGAGUGGAAUUCCUGGUGUAGCGGUGGAAUGCGCAGAUAUCAGGAGGAACACCAAUAGCGAAGGCAGCUCGCUGGGACGUUACUGACACUGAGGCGCGAAAGCGUGGGGAGCGAACAGG
rnacentral:rRNA from 1 species